rnacentral:rRNA from 1 species
UACGGAAGGGGCCAACGAAUAUCGGAAUUACUGGGCGUAAAGAGCGCGUAGGCGGCUUACCAAGUUGGGGGUGAAAUCCCGGAGCUCAACUCCGGAACUGCCUUCAAAACUGGUAGGCUCGAGUCCGGAAGAGGGGCGUGGAAUUCCCAGUGUAGAGGUGAAAUUCGUAGAUAUUGGGAAGAACACCGGUGGCGAAGGCGGCGCCCUGGCCCGGUACUGACGCUGAGGCGCGAAAGCGUGGGGAGCAAACAGG